UCAAGUAAUUAAGUGCAUGUGGUGGAUGCCUUGGCAGUCAGAGGCGAUGAAAGACGUGAUAGCCUGCGAAAAGCUCCGGGGAGGCGGCAAAUAUCCUUUGAUCCGGAGAUGUCUGAAUGGGGGGACCCACCUACUUUAAGGUAGGUAUUGCAACAUGAAUACAUAGUGUUGCAAGGCGAACGAGGGGAAGUGAAACAUCUCAGUACCCUUAGGAAAAGAAAUCAAUUGAGAUUCCCUCAGUAGCGGCGAGCGAACGGGGAUCAGCCCAUUAAGUUAUGUGUGUUUUAGUGGAACGCUCUGGGAAGUGCGAACGUAGAGGGUGAUAUUCCCGUACACGAAAGGGCACACAUAAUGAUGACGAGUAGGGCGAGGCACGUGAAACCUUGUCUGAAUAUGGGGGGACCAUCCUCCAAGGCUAAAUACUCCUGACUGACCGAUAGUGAACCAGUACCGUGAGGGAAAGGCGAAAAGAACCCCUGUGAGGGGAGUGAAAUAGAUCCUGAAACCGCAUGCAUACAAGCAGUGGGAGCACCUUCGUGGUGUGACUGCGUACCUUUUGUAUAAUGGGUCAGCGACUUAUAUUCAGUAGCGAGGUUAACCGUAUAGGGGAGCCGUAGAGAAAUCGAGUCUUAAUAGGGCGUUUAGUUGCUGGGUAUAGACCCGAAACCAGGCGAUCUAUCCAUGAGCAGGUUGAAGGUUGGGUAACACUAACUGGAGGACCGAACCCACUGUCGUUGAAAAGCCAGGGGAUGACUUGUGGAUAGGGGUGAAAGGCUAAUCAAGCCUGGUGAUAGCUGGUUCUCCCGAAAGCUAUUUAGGUAGCGCCUCGGACGAAUACCAUAGGGGGUAGAGCACUGUUUCGGCUAGGGGGUCAUCCCGACUUACCAAACCGAUGCAAACUCCGAAUACCUAUGAGUACUAUCCGGGAGACAGACUGCGGGUGCUAACGUCCGUAGUCAAGAGGAAAACAAUCCAGACCGCCAGCUAAGGCCCCAAAAUCAUAGUUAAGUGGGAAACGAUGUGGGAAGGCAUAGACAGCUAGGAGGUUGGCUUAGAAGCAGCCACCCUUUAAAGAAAGCGUAAUAGCUCACUAGUCGAGUCGGCCUGCGCGGAAGAUGUAACGGGGCUAAAACUAUGUGCCGAAGCUGCGGAUGUAUACUUUGUAUACGUGGUAGGGGAGCGUUCUGUAAGCCGAUGAAGGUGUGUUGAGAAGCAUGCUGGAGGUAUCAGAAGUGCGAAUGCUGACGUGAGUAACGACAAAACGGGUGAAAAACCCGUUCGCCGAAAGACCAAGGGUUCCAGUCCAACGUUAAUCGGGGCUGGGUGAGUCGACCCCUAAGGCGAGGCCGAAAGGCGUAGUCGAUGGGAAAAUGGUUAAUAUUCCAUUACUUCUGUGUAAUGCGAUGAGAGGACGGAGAAGGCUAAAUCAGCCUGGCGUUGGUUGUCCAGGUGAAAGGAUGUAGGCAUGUAUCUUAGGCAAAUCCGGGGUACUCUAUGCUGAGAUCUGAUAGCAAGCUGUACUUGUACAGCGAAGUGGUUGAUGCCAUGCUUCCAGGAAAAGUCUCUAAGCUUCAGUUACACAGGAAUCGUACCCGAAACCGACACAGGUGGUCAGGUCGAGUAGACCAAGGCGCUUGAGAGAACUCUGCUGAAGGAACUAGGCAAAAUGGUACCGUAACUUCGGGAGAAGGUACGCUGUUGUUGGUGAUGGAACUCGCUUCCUGAGCUGACGACAGCCGCAGAAACCAGGCCGCUGCAACUGUUUAUUAAAAACAUAGCACUCUGCAAACACGAAAGUGGACGUAUAGGGUGUGAUGCCUGCCCGGUGCUGGAAGGUUAAUUGAUGGGGUUAGCGUAAGCGAAGCUCUUGAUCGAAGCCCCAGUAAACGGCGGCCGUAACUAUAACGGUCCUAAGGUAGCGAAAUUCCUUGUCGGGUAAGUUCCGACCUGCACGAAUGGCAUAAUGAUGGCGGCGCUGUCUCCAGCAGAGGCUCAGUGAAAUCGAAAUCGCUGUGAAGAUGCAGUGUACCCGCGGCUAGACGGAAAGACCCCGUGAACCUUUACUGCAGCUUGACACUGAACUUUGACCUUACUUGUGUAGGAUAGGUGGGAGGCUUUGAAGCUGGAACGCUAGUUCCAGUGGAGCCGUCCUUGAAAUACCACCCUGGUAAUGUUGAGGUUCUAACUCUGUCCCGUGAUCCGGGACGAGGACCGUGUCUGGUGGGUAGUUUGACUGGGGCGGUCUCCUCCUAAAGAGUAACGGAGGAGUACGAAGGUGCGCUCAGCGUGGUCGGAAAUCACGCGUAGAGUAUAAAGGCAAAAGCGCGCUUAACUGCGAGACCCACAAGUCGAGCAGGUACGAAAGUAGGUCUUAGUGAUCCGGUGGUUCUGUAUGGAAGGGCCAUCGCUCAACGGAUAAAAGGUACUCUGGGGAUAACAGGCUGAUACCGCCCAAGAGUUCAUAUCGACGGCGGUGUUUGGCACCUCGAUGUCGGCUCAUCUCAUCCUGGGGCUGAAGCAGGUCCCAAGGGUAUGGCUGUUCGCCAUUUAAAGAGGUACGCGAGCUGGGUUUAGAACGUCGUGAGACAGUUCGGUCCCUAUCUACCGUGGGCGCUGGAAAUUUGAGAGGAUCUGCUCCUAGUACGAGAGGACCAGAGUGGACGAACCUCUGGUGUACCGGUUGUGACGCCAGUCGCAUCGCCGGGUAGCUAUGUUCGGAAGGGAUAACCGCUGAAAGCAUCUAAGCGGGAAGCCUACCUCAAGAUAAGAUUUCCCUAGGACUUUAUGUCCUCUAAAGAGCCGUUCGAGACUAGGACGUUGAUAGGUUGGAUGUGGAAGCAUAGUGAUAUGUGAAGCUGACCAAUACUAAUUGCUCGUGAGGCUUGACUA
rnacentral:rRNA from 1 species